GAUGAACGCUGGCGGCGUGCCUAAUACAUGCAAGUCGAGCGAAUGGAUUGAGAGCUUGCUCUUAUGAAGUUAGCGGCGGACGGGUGAGUAACACGUGGGUAACCUGCCCAUAAGACUGGGAUAACUCCGGGAAACCGGGGCUAAUACCGGAUAACAUUUUGAACCGCAUGGUUCGAAAUUGAAAGGCGGCUUCGGCUGUCACUUAUGGAUGGACCCGCGUCGCAUUAGCUAGUUGGUGAGGUAACGGCUCACCAAGGCAACGAUGGAUAGCCGAACUGAGAGGGUGAUCGGCCACACUGGGGCUGAGACACAGCCCAGACUCAUACGGGAGGCAGCAGUGGGGAAUAUUGCACAAUGGGCGCAAGCCUGAUGCAGCAACGCGGCGGGAGGGAUGAAGGCUUUCGGGUCGUAAAACUCUGUUGUUAGGGAAGAACAAGUGCUAGUUGAAUAAGCUGGCACCUUGACGGUACCUAACCAGAAAGCCACGGCUAACUACGUGCCAGCAGCCGCCGUAA
rnacentral:rRNA from 1 species